rnacentral:rRNA from 1 species
AUUUCAGUGAAUCAUCGAAUCUUUGAACGCAUAUUGCGCCCAUUAGCAUUCUAGUGGGCAUGCCUGUCCGAGCGUCAUUUCAACCCUCAGGUUCGUACGCGGCCUGGUGUUGGGGAAUCUGCGGCUGACCGCAGGCCCCAAAAGAGAGUGGCGGUGUCCGUCGGCACUCCGGGCGCAGUGGAUAUCUUUCUCGCCCAGGAUGUCUGGCGGCCGGCCGGCCGUAAAACAGCCUAGUCGCUAUAAGGUUGACCUCGGAUCAGGUAGGAAUACCCGCUGAACUUAAGCAUAUCAAUAAGCGGAGGAAGAGAAACCAACAGGGAUUGCCCUAGUAACGGCGAGUGAAGCGGCAACAGCUCAAAUUUGAAAUCUGGCCCCCGGCCCGAGUUGUAAUUUGUAGAGGAUGCUUUGGGCGCCGGCACCUUCCGAGUUCCCUGGAAUGGGACGCCAUAGAGGGUGAGAGCCCCGUACGGUGGGAUGUCUAGCCUAUGUAAAGCUCCUUCGACGAGUCGAGUAGUUUGGGAAUGCUGCUCAAAAUGGGAGGUAAAUUUCUUCUAAAGCUAAAUACCGGCCAGAGACCGAUAGCGCACAAGUAGAGUGAUCGAAAGAUGAAAAGCACUUUGAAAAGAGGGUCAAAAGUACGUGAAAUUGUUGAAAGGGAAGCGCUCAUGACCAGACUUGCGCCUAGCGAAUCAUCCGGCGUUCUCGUCGGUGCACUUCGCUCGGCUCAGGCCAGCAUCGGUUUUCUCAGGGCGUUAAAAACAACAGGAACGUAGCUCCUCCGGGGGUGUUAUAGCCUGCUGUAGAAUAUCCUUGGGGGGACCGAGGACCGCGCUCGGCAAG